ensembl:lncRNA
GCAAGAACUGUAUUGAAGGCAAAACGUACGCGCGUAAAAACCAAAACCCCAAUAGGUCCAUUUUAUUUAACAUCCUCCACCAAAUCCAGGGUUUUAUGGCGCACUGUGGAUAUAAAUAAGGUGUCAAUCUCACUUUCGCGUAGGACACCUCGGUAUGGACACGCGAGACGUCCCGCGGCCGCGCCCCUCCUCGGUGUCCCGUGCGCUCCGCGCGCUGACGCAGCACAUUAGGAGGGGGGUGUGGGGGGUUCCUUCCCUACACCAUGCAUGUUGAACGUAUGGGUUUGGUAACGCGAUCCAAUAUUGGACCGGAGGUGCAUGGCACAGAAGGUGUUUGCACGUUUUGCGCGUUCACGCGUCACCACCUAGCGCUCCCCCUCCUUGCUGUUUCGGUUUUUUUCUCCCGUCGUGGCAAUCCCGCGAUUUUAGGUACGUGAUUGUGUGCGUAUUUGGUCCGAAAAAGCGGUAAAGUGCGACUGAACAAUGCAAUCCAGUAGCGUGAUGCUGGUGGUUCUGCUCCUCGAAGUGCUCUGCCGGGCCGCACCCCCCAGCACGGAGAUGGUGACCCUGGAAGUGGAGUUGGGGGCCAUGGCGAUCUUCCCCUGCAAUGGCUCCUCCUUUCUGGGGCUGGGGGCCGGCGGGGGCUCGGGGGAGAGGAGGAGGAUGAGGGGGGGCUGUUCGUCUGGGAGGCCAUGGGGAAGGACGUGGUCGCCUUCAAGGACGGGGCCAUGGUGGAGGGCUCCCAGUACGAGGGGCGUGUUCACCUGGCGUCUGAGGACAGCGUCCUGACGGGUGAUUGGUCGCUGGUUCUGGAGGGGGUGCGGCACGCCGAUGUCAACAUGUACGAGUGCAUCGUACCGGGGAGAAGGACCCUGGCCAAUGUGUGGCUGAGCGUGGAGCCCCCUGAGGGGCAGACCCUGUGGGUGAACGCGUGGCUCGGGGACUCCACCUACCUGAGCUGUGAGGCCCCAGAGGCGGAGCGCUCACUGGACCUCCGCUUCUGGUGGGAGAAGGACGGGGUCCCGGUGCCGCACGACCAUGAGGAUAAAGAUCGUUUCCACGUGGAGACGGACGGUAACCAUGUGGGUCUGAUCAUCAGCCAGGUACUGAUCACCGACAGGGGGGUCUACCACUGCUUCUUCCAAUCACGGCCCUCUCAAGAGCCGAGGCGAGGGUCUCCAGAAAUCGUGAAAUUGACCGUUUUGGGAUCGGAGCACUUGGACGACGAGGAGAUGGGCCCCGAGGCUACUCCAUCGACGGAGCCUUCUACGCCACAGGAUGAGGAGGAGGAGGUGCCGACCCCCUCGGACCCCACCCUGCUGGAGAGCCCCCUACUCCUCUCCGAUGACACCCUCGGUGGGCAGGACAACAGCCAUGGGGAUGAUGUGCCCUGGGUUCGAAUCACCAUCAUGACCAGUGUUCUGGCCAUCACUGCCGUCACGCUUUGCAUCCUAAGAGCCCGGUACAUAAUCUGACCAUAGAGCGCGCCUUCGAUCAGUAUCUGAGAUCGGAAGUUAGAGCCGCAGCGAUUUGACCAUUCAGAGAAAAGAUGUGCAAAAAAUGUUUGUGAUCUUUUCUAUGGGAAGCUCAUUCACAGAACAUUGUGUUUUCUUUUUACAAAUAUGUAUUGCGCGAAUCCGUUAUGUGCAAUCUUUGGAAUUUCCGUAGUGUUUUAUCGAGUAAUAAAAAAAUAGUUUUAUCAUUUAUCUGGAAAGCAGAACCCGAGGGACCCAAGGCACUAAGAGUGUGGAUUUCGGUAAAUAUUUUAUUUCAUGACCCCCCAGAAAAUAAAUACAUUUUAUUUAUAAAAUAUUAUUCUCAACUUCUAAACGUCUUUAAACGAAAAAAAAAAAAAAGGCCUUUUUUUUAUGCAUUUCUGUUUUAAUGAAGGAACAUCUUUAGAGAUUGCCAAUGAAAAUGAAAAUGUUCAUCUGCUAACAUUUUCAUGAAACUGUUAUUAUCAUUAUUCAGUAAUUAUGCAAACUUAUUGUGUCAAAGGAACACGAUGUGAUGACAGACAACCUCAGAUGCUCUUUACCUCCCAGCAAUAGCAUAAAGCUUUUAUAUAUAGCAACUGGUACAGUAUACAUGACCACUCCAAGCUCAGAAUAUCCGAGGGAGGGAGGGAGAGAGAGAGAGAGAGAGAGAGAGAGAGAGAGAGAGAGAGAGAGAGAGAGAGAGAGAGAGAGAGAGAGAGAGAGAGAGAGAGAGAGAGAGAGAGAGAGAGAGAGAGAGAGAGAGAGAGAGCGCGAGAGAGCGAGAGCGAGCCCACUGCACCGUCAGUCAAAGGACGUCGGAAGGCGUGGCUGACGGAUGGGGGAGCUUUCCAGGGUCGUCACGCCUCGUGCCCACUACCUCCGUCCGUUGACUGAUCCCCAUUGACUUUGAAUGGGGACGGACGUGCAAUGCAUUGUGGAUCCGUGCGCUGAAGGCUCCGUCAAAAAGUUUAAAAAUGUUCAACUUUUUCAGCAGCGACGGAUCCGUCAUCCAAUCAGAAUACGUAUGCCAAUUUAAGCACUGUGACACUACUCGGGCUCUGACGACCCUGGAAACCUGCCCCAUCCGUCAGCCACUCCUUCCCAGUCCUUUGACUGACGGUGCAGUGGGCACGAGGCGUGAGCCCGAGUAGUGUCACAGUGCUCACAUUUGCAUACGUGAUCUGAUUGGAUGACGGUUCCGUCGCUGCCGAAAAACAUUUUUCAACUUUUUGACGGAGCCAAAGGCUCCAACGGAGCGCACGGAUCCACAAUGCAGUCCGUCCGUCCCCGUUCAAAGUCAAUGGAGAUCAGUCAAUGGACGGAAGCAGUGGGCACGAGGCGUGAGAAGGGAG